CCUACGGGUGGCAGCAGUCGAGAAUCAUUCACAAUGGUGGAAACCCUGAUGGUGCGACGCCGCGUGGGGGAAUGAAGUUCUUCGGAUUGUAAACCCCUUUCAUGUGGGAGCAAAUUAAAAAGAUAGUACCACAAGAGGAAGAGACGGCUAACUCUGUGCCAGCAGCCGCGGUAAUACAGAGGUCUCAAGCGUUGUUCGGAAUCACUGGGCGUAAGGCGUGCGUAGGCUGUUUCGUAAGUCGUGUGUGAAAGGCGCGGGCUCAACCCGCGGACGGCACAUGAUACUGCGAGACUAGAGUAAUGGAGGGGGAACCGGAAUUCUCGGUGUAGCAGUGAAAUGCGUAGAUAUCGAGAGGAACACUCGUGGCGAAGGCGGGUUCCUGGACAUUAACUGACGCUGAGGCACGAAGGCCAGGGGAGCGAAAGGGAUUAGAUACCCGGGUAGUC
rnacentral:rRNA from 1 species